GUGCGUGCCUCACCUCCAUCUGCAGUUGGAGAGAGAUGGACUGGCAAAAUAUCUCCGUCAGCCCUUGGCCACCUCCAGUUUCCCUUUCCACCUCUCCAAUCUCCACCGCCGCUGCCGCCCCGCCCCCUCUCGGUUUCUCAUGCUGCCGCUCCGACGAAGAGCGCGCCGCUGGUGCUUAGAUUCCGGGGACAUCUCAUGGUCUUAGUUGACGGAAGGAGGGGAAGAGCAGCCGCGCCAGGCGGCAUGCCUUGCUGUGCCGCAUGGCAGCCGCUGCCCCAUGCUUUGCCGGCGCCGUCUCAUCGUCUUCAUAGACAUGCGCAUCUCUGUCAGGACCGCGCGUCCAUGCCUCCCCAUCUACCGGGCUGGAGUGGCCGCCUACUGGUUGAGGCAUCGCGCGGCAUCGAACGUCCUCGGCUGCUGCCGCUGCUGCUGGCCGGGUCCCUCCUCUCGCUCCUGCCGAGGCUGAGGUGAGCACCAUGAACAUGAUGUUAGUGGCUGAUAUAGAGAGAUCCUCGAACAGGGAAGUAGCAGUUCUGGAGGAACUCGAAGAUGUCAUGUUUCAGUUUUGAUGUGAAUCGCUACAACAACAAUUAGAAGAGACUGUGCAUUGCAGGUUCAGAACCAAUUUCUAUGGAUGAUUGACAUACGGAUCUUAGCGAGAUUCAAGGGAACGCGUGAUGUGACUGUGCCUUGUAUAAGCAAAUCUAAGCUGUUGAGGUAAUUAUUCUGUAAGUGCCUUCUAUAAACAGUUAAACACGCAACACAUCUGUAUGUUCUUUUCAUAUGGUUCUUUAUAUAAGUACAUUUCAGUAAUAUGUGUCUUGUUUUACUUUUGUCCACGGUGACUAUGGCAUUCUUGGCUUCUGUUAUUAUGUUUGAGUGUAAAAUUGGUUGUUGAACUGAGGAAUAUGCUAAUUCAUCAUUUGUCUCAUUCGUUCUUGUAAAUAGUUUCUACUCCAUGUGGUUAUGAGCUGCUAUGUUUUCCAGUUACAAGUGUCCUUUGCUUAAUGGCUGAGUUUCUUUUGCUCGAGCCAGACCUGCAAGCCCGAUGUAAAACUCACUGCGUGCACCGUGUCGUGGCUUAGUCUCUUCGAGUUUCAGCGUUGACAUCACAUUUCUCUAACUGGCUUGCUUAGCCAUGGACAGUGAGACCACCCUUCAUUGAUUUCUUCAUCUAUAUGUUUAUUCUAGGCAUCAUGUCUUUGUUGGCUGCACAAUUGUUCAAACUCUAUCCUAGCUGUAGGUUUAUUUGAGGGAGAUCGAGUAGGAGUGUUUAUUUUCUAUAUAUAAAAUGGAUUCAACAUCCAACUUUAGUCAAGAACAAACCAUUAUUGUUUUUACGGUUUUAUGAGGUGUUGCAAGAUUGAUUUGAGUUGUUCUCAUUUAUGGUUUUCAGAUUAUUCUAUCCUGAAGUAUUGGUUUAUUACUGAGGAAGCCUUAAACAGAGAAGCUGAAUGCAGUUUUUGUAUCUUUCGUCAAAGUCCUGAAUGGUCCAAUGAAAAUCUUGGUAUGUACAGUUCAGAGCUUCAUCACAUUAUAGUAGGGAAAAAUGGUAUGCAGAAUGUCAAAAGUUUCAUUUUGGUCCAUUAGAUAGUUUAUAGCUUUGUCACUGGAGGUGUGACAAAAUAAUCGCAGCUUGUGAAAAUUAUAUACAACCAUGAAUGCUCCAUAGUUUUCCAUGCAACACAGCUACUGAAUCUGUAAGACAUGCUUAUUUCUGGCAGAAUCUUAGUGGAUAAAUUAGCAUUGUGUAAGAUCUGCCAUGAUAGUUUUCUCAAUACCAUUUUGCAUUUUGGGAUUGUUUGAGUACUAAACAAUGUUAACAGGUUUACCAUUUCUCAUCUCUUUGUGAUAUCCGUAGGUAUUCUGGUGUCUCAGUUAGUCCCCAGCCUCUUUCACCGACCCAUAAAUUAUCUGUCUCUAGGUCUCCUCAAUUGUAUUCUGGUUUAGAACAACAAAACUUUUUUUGCCUCAGCUACUUUGUCGGUGUCGUGUCUGUUGUCAUGGAUUUGAUGUCAUGUAGUUCUCGGUGUUUUAUUAUACUUCCAGUCUCGGUAUAUGACGGCAUGAUAUGAUGAUAUUACCCUAAACCUGCUCUCCCACUCAUUCAAAUCAGGAUGCCAGCGGACGCGUCUGCUGCGUGUCCCCAUCCGCCUGCAACGUUCGCAACUGUAAUCACAGAAUUAGCAGCGUCUCGCGUCCGCGACUUUUGGCUGCUCGCUAUGCCAGGCGGGCACAUGCGGACGUCCACAUCCGCCUUGCAAACUCUGUAUACAUCAAGCAUAAUGCAAUCCAGGCUAGAAAAUGACCAAAGAAACAUCUUUAGUUGCAAAUGAGGCCCAACAUCAUGUAGACAUACAUAAGCUGAAUCUCAUGUAAAAGGGUACACACGCUCAACCUCCUACAACAGUAAUUUAAGAGUUAGCUCCACCUGUUAUAAUAGUUUUUUGACCAAUCUGACUCUGGAAUAUCAAGACGAAUUGCUCCCAACAAAUUUGUGUUAUGCUGACUUCCAUAAAAAAAGUCUAUGCUCAGUUGCAUGCAUUAAUCCAGUUUUAGGACUGAACAAUAGAUUAAUACACACAUAUUUCGCUGUGAUUUGUGGCAAUUUUGCCGCAGGUACAAUGCUAAAAAAAUCAUUUUUUUGUUCAAUUUUAUGGUCAAGAUCUUAGGUUGAUGAUAACUUGAUAUGUGGUUCUCCUGUAGCAUUAGUUAUAUUUUGGAUUAUCUUACCCAAAACUAACUACAUGAAAAAUGACUACUUUAUUUUAUACCAUGUUAACUUAGGCCUGAAAUAUGAAAGUUACUUAUCAUACAAGAAGAGGCAAAAUAAUAUUUGUACCGUAUUUGGUUCAAGUCUACCAGGUAAAUAAUUUCAAAUGAUCAGAUUGAGUUGUUUUAGAAAUGAAAAAUGGAACUUGUCCUUGUUUAUCUUUCCUUUUUGUGUUAAAAUAAGAAGAAUGAUACACCACACACCGCCCUUUGGUUAUUUUUGCUCCAUGCGUUUUGCAGCAGAUUAUUAUUAGUAGAUAUUUAAGGCUUUUUUACUCUACCUUAGAUUUUUGACAUGAUUGGUGUUCACAUUUCACCAAAGAUCCUUCUGGAUGCUUUGUUGUAGAUACUCUAGCUCUCAAAAGCAGUCUGUAAGUAUCAAUAUAGAUAAUUUAAUCUUUAUUUCCGAUUGAUUCAAGAUACACACAUAUAUAAUGGCUACCAAUGCUCUGCAUCACCCACAUAAUUGUUGGUUCUAAUUGGCUUCUUGCGCCAUGUUUUCCUCUAGCGAAGAGUGAAAGCCACAACUUGACGAGGACAUUCUCACGGAAAAGCCUUGUAUGAUAAACAUCCAAUUCAAUGCUAUUGCAUGCUUCUUCGCCUAUGACCGGCAGAACACAAUGUAUAGGAUGUUUGGACAAAGAGCUACAAGGAGAGCACUCUUCAACGAUGGCAAUAUCCAAUGAAGUUGCAAAUUGUUGGAUGUAUGUAUAUGUGUACCGAAGUUCAGUUGAAUCCCUAAGGAAGAACCAAACAUUUAUUUCUAUCUUAUUAUAUGCUAUCUUAAAUGCAAAAGUGUGAGCUAUGUUAACAACUGUUUUA